AGUGAACGCUGGCGGUAGGCCUAACACAUGCAAGUCGAACGGCAGCACAGUAAGAGCUUGCUCUUACGGGUGGCGGGUGGCGGACGGGUGAGGAAUACAUCGGAAUCUACUUUUUCGUGGGGGAUAACGUAGGGAAACUUACGCUAAUACCGCAUACGACCUACGGGUGAAAGCAGGGGAUCUUCGGACCUUGCGCGAUUGAAUGAGCCGAUGUCGGAUUAGCUAGUUGGCGGGGUAAAGGCCCACCAAGGCGACGAUCCGUAGCUGGUCUGAGAGGAUGAUCAGCCACACUGGAACUGAGACACGGUCCAGACUCCUACGGGAGGCAGCAGUGGGGAAUAUUGGACAAUGGGCGCAAGCCUGAUCCAGCCAUACCGCGUGGGUGAAGAAGGCCUUCGGGUUGUAAAGCCCUUUUGUUGGGAAAGAAAAGCAGCAGGUUAAUACCCCGCUGUUCUGACGGUACCCAAAGAAUAAGCACCGGCUAACCUCGUG
rnacentral:rRNA from 1 species